rnacentral:rRNA from 1 species
CUUGACAUCCAGCGAAUUCGGUAGAGAUACCUUAGUGCCUUCGGGAACGCUGAGACAGGUGCUGCAUGGCUGUCGUCAGCUCGUGUUGUGAAAUGUUGGGUUAAGUCCCGCAACGAGCGCAACCCUUAUCCUUUGUUGCCAGCGGUCCGGCCGGGAACUCAAAGGAGACUGCCAGUGAUAAACUGGAGGAAGGUGGGGAUGACGUCAAGUCAUCAUGGCCCUUACGAGUAGGGCUACACACGUGCUACAAUGGCGCAUACAAAGAGAAGCGACCUCGCGAGAGCAAGCGGACCUCAUAAAGUGCGUCGUAGUCCGGAUUGGAGUCUGCAACUCGACUCCAUGAAGUCGGAAUCGCUAGUAAUCGUAGAUCAGAAUGCUACGGUGAAUACGUUCCCGGGCCUUGUACACACCGCCCGUCACACCAUGGGAGUGGGUUGCAAAAGAAGUAGGUAGCUUAACCUUCGGGAGGGCGCUUACCACUUUGUGAUUCAUGACUGGGGUAAAGUCGUAACAAGGUAGGCGUAGAUGA